AGAAAAUUACAGGUGGGAUUUUCCAUCAUCCCUAUGUCUGUAUAUCUAAGGCUUGCCUCUACCCUAACUAUUUUUUUGACUGUUUAUUAUUAAUUUUCUCCUUUUGAUUUGUUGAUGUUGACUCAUCAUAUGCAAAAGGUAACACAACUACAGGGGCAGCAGGCACUGUGUUCCAGCGAUCCUUCAGAAAGGUUAUGAACCUCUUAACCAUUUCCUUCCGGAACUCAAGCUCCCGAGUGAAGAGAUCAAAAAGAAGAAAGGCAGCAACAUACUUGAAAGGGACAAUGAGAAGAACAGUUGCGGACGCUAAAAACACCAGUGCAACCUCAGUUGUUAUCUGAGGAUGACCUGAAAGAAUAAUUGUACAAAUUUUUAGAAGUGUGACAUUCAGAUUCUGGAGAUAAUUUUCCACAUCACACAUGGCAUCUUUUACUGCUAUAAUCUUUUGAAUGGUAUUUGAAGGUGGUUGAUCACGAAUGGUAACUUUCCCAAAUGAUCUGCCCAAGCGACCUUGCUCCUUAAGCCCCUUCAGUGUUAGCAUCCCAGCUGCCAAAACCAUUAACAUCAUCGGAAAUACAUAUGGCAGCAAAUUUCUGAAAAUAACUGAAUAUGCAAAUGCAAGAAAAGAGAU
rnacentral:misc_RNA from 1 species